rnacentral:rRNA from 1 species
CCUACGGGAGGCAGCAGUGGGGGAUAUUGCACAAUGGGGGGAACCCUGAUGCAGCGACGCCGCGUGGGUGAAGAAGCGCCUCGGCGCGUAAAGCCCUUUCAGCAGGGAAGAAAAUGACGGUACCUGCAGAAGAAGCCCCGGCUAACUACGUGCCAGCAGCCGCGGUAAUACGUAGGGGGCAAGCGUUAUCCGGAUUUACUGGGUGUAAAGGGGGCGCAGACGGCGAUGCAAGCCAGGAGUGAAAGCGCGGGGCCCAACCCUGGGAGUGCUAUUGGAACUGCGUGGCUGGAGUGCAGGAGGGGCAGGCGGAAUUCCUGGUGUAGCGGUGAAAUGCGUAGAUAUCAGGAGGAACACCGGUGGCGAAGGCGGCCUGCUGGACUGCAACUGACGUUGAGGCCCGAAAGCGUGGGGAGCAAACAGGAUUAGAUACCCGAGUAGUC